rnacentral:rRNA from 1 species
CAAGUCGAACGGGAAUCUUCGGAUUCUAGUGGCGGACGGGUGAGUAACGCGUAAGAAUCUAACUUCAGGACGGGGACAACAGUUGGAAACGACUGCUAAUACCCGAUAUGCCGCGAGGUGAAACCUAAUUGGCCUGAAGAAGAGCUUGCGUCUGAUUAGCUAGUUGGUGGGGUAAGAGCCUACCAAGGCGACGAUCAGUAGCUGGUCUGAGAGGAUGAGCAGCCACACUGGGACUGAGACACGGCCCAGACUCCUACGGGAGGCAGCAGUGGGGAAUUUUCCGCAAUGGGCGAAAGCCUGACGGAGCAACGCCGCGUGAGGGAGGAAGGUCUUUGGAUUGUAAACCUCUUUUCUCAAGGAAGAAGUUCUGACGGUACUUGAGGAAUCAGCCUCGGCUAACUCCGUGCCAGCAGCCGCGGUAAUACGGGGGAGGCAAGCGUUAUCCGGAAUUAUUGGGCGUAAAGCGUCCGCAGGUGGUCAGCCAAGUCUGCCGUCAAAUCAGGUUGCUUAACGACCUAAAGGCGGUGGAAACUGGCAGACUAGAGAGCAGUAGGGGUAGCAGGAAUUCCCAGUGUAGCGGUGAAAUGCGUAGAGAUUGGGAAGAACAUCGGUGGCGAAAGCGUGCUACUGGGCUGUAUCUGACACUCAGGGACGAAAGCUAGGGGAGCGAAAGGGAUUAGAUACCCCUGUAGUCCUAGCCGUAAACGAUGGAUACUAGGCGUGGCUUGUAUCGACCCGAGCCGUGCCGAAGCUAACGCGUUAAGUAUCCCGCCUGGGGAGUACGCACGCAAGUGUGAAACUCAAGGAAUUGACGG